GACGAACGCUGGCGGCGCGCCUAACACAUGCAAGUCGAACGAGCGAGAGAGAGCUUGCUUUCUCAAGCGAGUGGCGAACGGGUGAGUAACGCGUGAGGAACCUGCCUCAAAGAGGGGGACAACAGUUGGAAACGACUGCUAAUACCGCAUAAGCCCACGACCCGGCAUCGGGUUGAGGGAAAAGGAGCAAUCCGCUUUGAGAUGGCCUCGCGUCCGAUUAGCUGGUUGGUGAGGUAACGGCCCACCAAGGCAACGAUCGGUAGCCGGACUGAGAGGUUGAACGGCCACAUUGGGACUGAGACACGGCCCAGACUCCUACGGGAGGCAGCAGUGGGGAAUAUUGCACAAUGGGGGAAACCCUGAUGCAGCGACGCCGCGUGGAGGAAGAAGGUCUUCGGAUUGUAAACUCCUGUUGUUGGGGAAGAUGAUGACGGUACUCAACAAGGAAGUGACGGCUAACUACGUGCCAGCAGCCGCGGUAAAACGUAGGUCACGAGCGUUGUCCGGAAUUACUGGGUGUAAAGGGAGCGCAGGCGGGAAGACAAGUUGGAAGUGAAAUCUAUGGGCUCAACCCAUAAACUGCUUUCAAAACUGUUUUUCUUGAGUAGUGCAGAGGUAGGCGGAAUUCCCGGUGUAGCGGUGGAAUGCGUAGAUAUCGGGAGGAACACCAGUGGCGAAGGCGGCCUACUGGGCACCAACUGACGCUGAGGCUCGAAAGUGUGGGUAGCAAACAGG
rnacentral:rRNA from 1 species